UACUAGAGUAGCACUCGCAUAUCAAUAAGCGGAGGAAAAGAAACUAACAAGGAUUCCCUUAGUAACGGCGAGUGAAGCGGGAAGAGCUCAAAUUUGAAAUCUUCAAGGUUUUACCUUGACGAAUUGUAGUUUAAAGAAGUGUUUUCUGUUGGAGUUUUGGUAAAAGUUCUUUGGAAUAGGACAUCAUAGAGGGUGAGAAUCCCGUAUUUGACCAUUAUUUCCAGCUGUGUGAUACACUUUCAAAGAGUCGGAUUGUUUGGGAAUGCAGUCCAAAAUGGGUGGUAAAUUUCAUCUAAAGCUAAAUAUUGGCGAGAGACCGAUAGCGAACAAGUACCGUGAGGGAAAGAUGAAAAGAACUUUGAAAAGAGAGUUAAACAGUACGUGAAAUUGUCAAAAGGGAAGCGUUUGACACCAGUGUUGUUUUCUCGAAAAUCAAUUAAAAAUGGUGGGAUUUUGUGUUGUAUUGACUUUAUCAGCUUUCUGCACUUUCUUCCUAUCUUUUUUCAAUGCACUUUUCGUUUAACAAGUCAACAUCAAUUUCUUUUGUUGUAAAAGGGGUUAUUGGAAGGUGGCUUUACUUUCGGAGAAAGUGUUUAUAGCCUUGUAACUCUGCAAUCGGAGAGAUUGAGGUCUGCAGCGUAGAUCCUUCGGGGUUAGAUACAUUUGUGCUAAGUUAUAGCUUUUCAUAGACAACUUGUUGACUAUGUUAAGUCUUGUAGCUUACUCGCUUAUGCUAUUUUACCUACGCUUAGGAUGUUGAAGAUGUAGCACAUCAU
rnacentral:rRNA from 1 species